UUGAAGGAUUUUAAGACUUCAACUUGCAGACUUAAAGAAUUUGAAGACUUCCGCUUGCAGAAAAGAAUUAGAAGACUUCAAGU
rnacentral:pre_miRNA from 1 species